rnacentral:lncRNA from 1 species
UGCACCCAGAGGUUGCAGUAAGUCUGGAUGCCACAUCAAACUGUUUGUGGUACUUCUAAACUUCGUGGAAGAGCCCUGUUUCAUAAAUCUGAGACAGCCUUGGUCUGAGGGAGCAAAGACAGAGAAUUCACGUGCUGCCCAGGCAUAGCCACAUAGCAGGUGGACAUCCCUGGACACUUUUCUGACCCUCAUUGGAUUUUCCUGGAAGUACGGAGAGUUACAUCCAGAGAACUCUGAACAUUUUGGAAGGACCCCAAUCCUGCAAACAAUGAAUGGCAAUAAAUCCUGGGACUGGAAAGGGGCUUCUCAACCCCAAGGCAACCAUAAAGUCCUAUACAAAGAAAGAUACAGCAGUGUGAAAGAGGCCUGGAUGAAAAAACAAAGACAGAGCCAGUGAGCCAGAGCCAGAGCCAGAGGACAAGAGAGAAAGGCAGAGAAUGGAAAACACAGACAGAGAAGGCAGAUGCGUAGAGAGACAGAGAUUCAAUGAGAAAAUAAGGAAGGAAGAAAGAAAGAAAACAAAAACGUUCUCAGCACUACAACUUCUGCCUUGUUCUGUUCCAGAACAGUAUGAGCUCAGUACUUUUUCAGACUCUCAAUUUUCUACAACUAAUAAUUUGCUCUUUCAGUUAGUGGCAAAGGCUUAACGACAAAGGUUCAUCUUUAAUAUUAGAGAGGCACUUUUAAAAUUUAUGAUGCUAAGCCUUUUGUUCUGGAUAUGGUAUGUUGCACAGGUCUAGGGACUGGGAUUUCAGAUGUCUAUUCCGUACCCUUAUUCUUUUAUUUAUUAAAUCUUUUAGUGUGUAUUUUUUUCUAUUUUCUCUUCUUUUAUUAGUAUGUAUUUCUUGAGUCAUUAACAUACAACAUAUAUAGGACUUCCUCUGAGGAUACAAUAAUGUAUAUGAUGGACAAGAUACGUAAAAGUGCCUUGAAGAGACUUGGUCUUGUGAGGGGACAGACAGGAAACAGGCAAUUAUCACCUAACUUAGGUCUGUUGUUUCAAGGUAAAAUAAGAAUAAUAACAUCUGUGUUGGCUGGGAUGUUGUGAGUGUUUGUGGAGAUAAUAGUACAAAUGAAAUUACUGAGGGACAAUGGUGAAGAUAGGGCCAUAUCAUGGAGCUUACACUAGUGAUGGAAGGAGAUGGGAGAUACAAAAGCAAGUCAAUAUUUCAGAUUUCGUAAAUGAAUGGCAAGCAUAGAGCAGUGAGGCAGAGAAUGACUGGAGAAAGAGACUAUGUUAAACUGGAUAGUAAAGGAAGAGCAGGACCCCACUAAACUAUAUGGAGUUUUGUGCAAAUCACAUGAACACACGUAGAACAUUUUAGGCUGCUCAUGUGACUUUGGAUUUGUCCUAAGGGCAAUAGUAAGCCUUUGAACUGCUUUAGCAUGAUAGGAUUUUAAAAGAUCACUGGCUGCUGUGUGAACAAAAAUAAUGUUGUAAAGAAAAGGAUAUUAGCUGUAUCAGAUCAGCUGGAGACUACUGAAAUAACCCAAGCUGGCUUGGACUACAUAGGAGUAGUGUAAACUCAUUCAUUCAUGCAAGAAAUACUUACUGAGUGCCUACUCAGUACCAGACCCUUUUCUAGGACAUGGAGUUAUAGCAGUGAACAAUAUAGAAAAAAAUCCCCGAAUUCAUGGAGACUCCAGUGAGCAGAGACAAAAAAAUAGCAACUAAAUAAGUUAAAAGGAAUUGAGUACCCUAUAAAAGUUUAUCAGGGAAAUGUUAUAAGGAAUGACUUUCGGAGUAAUGGGUAGUGAUCUUAAAUGUAUGGUCAAUGAAAAUCAGAAGUUGUAGAGAAGUGGAUAAAUUCACAGUACGUUUUAAAGUAGACCUAAUAAGACUUAAUGAAUUUGAUGUGGCAAGUGAGAAAAAUACAUCAAGGAUGAUGACUUUUAUAAUUUGACUUGAGUAUCUGGGAACAAACAAGUACAGUGCCAUAAUAAGGGCAGAAAAUUUUCCAUUCACUCAGCAACUUAUGAACUCAUUUGCUUAGUCUUUAUUGCCUCUUGCAUUAUGUAGUUUUCACUUUGCUGGAGUACUUGUAUAGAAGAUCACCAGUGAAGAAGCCAGAGAUGGUUUAUUUGGUCAUCCCAAUAAUACAUCUUAUUGUUAAUUAACUCUCAAGGGUUUUUUUUCACAAUUUUAGAAAAGGUUUAAGCAAAUGAAUUAUUUAACAUGAAUUGGCUAUGUGACCCUACUAUAAGGUGUUUAAAACACCAACAGCUUAAACUUCUUAGAUCAAAGGACAUCCUCCAGGCCAAAAUGUUUCCACUGGAACGGUUUCUUUGCUUCCUGAUUAAAAGCUUCCCUAAUAUAUUUCCACGUGUUAUUACAUAUUUUCGUAUUCACUUUGAUGGAAAGCAAGAAUAGCAGCCAAAUACAUAUUUCAUGCAUUCUUUUGAUUAAAAAUGAUAAAGGUAAUAUUAGUGUUUUUUUCUUUCUCACCUCCAAUUUAUGAAGUGGAAAUAAUUUUCCAUGGAAUGGCCAACUAAAGAAAAGAAAUAUGAUAAAUUCAGAUCAUAUCAUUGUUCCAUUUAUCCUUGUACCCUGUCUGUGACAGAAUACCUGAUGUUUGGGAUAUAACAAAAAUAGAUGCAUAGAAUCAUAGAGUUUAAGAAUGUAAAAGACUUUUGAAAUCAGCCAUUCUAAUACCCUAAUUUUUAAGAUAGACAAAAAAUGGUCUCCGGAAGGAUAAAUAGUCUAACAAAGGUCAUGCAUUGAGAACAAACCUAAUAUGAGCCAAGAUGGCCGAAUAGGAACAGCUCCAGUCUACAGCUCCCAGCGUGAGCGACGCAGAAGACGGGUGAUUUCUGCAUUUCCAUCUGAGGUACCGGGUUCAUCUCACUAGGGAAUGCCAGACAGUGGGCGCAGGUCAGUGGGUGCGCGCACCGUGCGCAAGCCAAAGCAGGGGGAGGCAUUGCCUCAGUCGGGAAGUGCAAGGGGUCAGGGAGUUCCCCUUCCGAGUCAAAGAAAGGGGUGACGGACAGCACCUGGAAAAUCGGGUCACUCCCACCCGAAUACUGCGCUUUUCCGACAGGCUUAAAAAACGGCGCACCACAAGAUUAUAUCCCACACCUGGCUCGGAGGGUCCUACGCCCACGGAAUCUCGCUGAUUGCUAGCACAGCAGUCUGAGAUCAAACUGUAAGGCGGCAGCAAGGCUGGGGGAGGGGCGCCCGCCAUUGCCCAGGCUUUCUUAGGAAAACAAAGCAGCCGGGAAGCUCGAACUGGGUGGAGCCCACCACAGCUCAAGGAGGCCUGACUGCCUCUGUAGGCUCCACCUCUGGGGGCAGGGCACAGACAAACAAAAAGACAGCAGUAACCUCUGCAGACUUAAAUGUCCCUGUCUGACAGCUUUGAAGAGAGCAGUGGCUCUCCCAGCACGCAGCUGGAGAUCUGAGAACGGGCAGAGAACGGGCAGACUGCCUUCUCAAGUGGGUCCCUGACCCCUGACCCCCGAGCAGCCUAACUGGGAGGCAACCCCCCAGCAGGGGCACACUGACACCUCACACGGCAG